CAGUGUACAGGAUGUGUCUGCAAGUAUAUUAAUGUAUAUCAGUGUAAAGAUGUGUCUGCAAGUGGAUCAUUGUAAAGAUGUCUGCAAGUAUAUCAGUGUAAAGAGGUGUCUGCAAGUAUAUCAUUGUAAAGAUGUCUGCAAGUAUAUCAGUUGUAAAUAUGUGUCUGCAAGUAGAUCAGUGUAAAGAUGUAUCUGCAAACUGAUCCGCGUAAAGAGGUGUAUGC